rnacentral:rRNA from 1 species
AGUGGCAGACGGGUGAGUAAUGUAUAGGAAUCUACCUAGUAGUACGGAAUAAUUGUUGGAAACGGCAACUAAUACCGUAUACGCCCUACGGGGGAAAAAUUUAUUGCUAUUAGAUGAGCCUAUAUUAGAUUAGUUGGUUGGUGAGGUAAAGGCUUACCAAGACAAUGAUCUAUAGCUGAUCUGAGAGGAUGAUCAGCCACACUGGAACUGAGAUACGGUCCAGACUCCUACGGGAGGCAGCAGUGGGGAAUAUUGGACAAUGGGCGAAAGCCUGAUCCAGCCAUGCCGCAUGAGUGAAGAAGGCCUUCGGGUUGUAAAGCUCUUUUAGUGAGGAAGAUAAUGACGGUACUCACAGAAGAAGUCCUGGCUAACUCCGUGCCAGCAGCCGCGGUAAUACGGAGAGGGCUAGCGUUAUUCGGAAUCAUUGGGCGUAAAGGGCGCGUAGGCGGGUUAGUAAGUUAAAAGUGAAAUCCCAAGGCUCAACCUUGGAACUGCUUUUAAAACUGCUAGUCUAGAGAUUGAAAGAGGAUAGAGGAAUUCCUAGUGUAGAGAUGAAAUUCGUAAAUAUUAGGAGNA